rnacentral:rRNA from 1 species
GACGAACGCUGGCGGCGUGCUUAACACAUGCAAGUCGAACGAAGAGCGACGGAAGCUUGCUUCUAUCAAUCUUAGUGGCGAACGGGUGAGUAACGCGUAAUCAACCUGCCCUUCAGAGGGGGACAACAGUUGGAAACGACUGCUAAUACCGCAUACGAUCUAAUCUCGGCAUCGAGGAUGGAUGAAAGGUGGCCUCUACAUGUAAGCUAUCACUGAAGGAGGGGAUUGCGUCUGAUUAGCCAGUUGGAGGGGUAACGGCCCACCAAGGCGAUGAUCAGUAGCCGGUCUGAGAGGAUGAACGGCCACAUUGGGACUGAGACACGGCCCAGACUCCUACGGGAGGCAGCAGUGGGGAAUCUUCCGCAAUGGACGAAAGUCUGACGGAGCAACGCCGCGUGAGUGAUGACGGCCUUCGGGUUGUAAAGCUCUGUUAAUCGGGACGAAAGGCCUUCUUGCGAAUAGUGAGAAGGAUUGACGGUACCGGAAUAGAAAGCCACGGCUAACUACGUG